CGCGGGGUGGAGAAGGGGUAUCUCGGGUGGCUCAUAACCACCAGAUCGCCGGUUCGAAUCCGGCCCCCGCAA
rnacentral:tRNA from 1 species